UCAUCUUCGGGGGUAGAGCACUGUUUCGGCUAGGGGGUCAUCCCGACUUACCAACCCGAUGCAAACUACGAAUACCGAAGAAUGUUAUCACGGGAGACACACGGCGGGUGCUAACGUCCGUCGUGAAGAGGGAAACAACCCAGACCGCCAGCUAAGGUCCCAAAGUCAUGGUUAAGUGGGAAACGAUGUGGGAAGGCACAGACAGCCAGGAUGUUGGCUUAGAAGCAGCCAUCAUUUAAAGAAAGCGUAAUAGCUCACUGGUCGAGUCGGCCUGCGCGGAAGAUGUAACGGGGCUAAACCAUGCACCGAAGCUGCGGCAGCGACACUAUGUGUUGUUGGGUAGGGGAGCGUUCUGUAAGCCUGCGAAGGUGACCUGUGAGGGUUGCUGGAGGUAUCAGAAGUGCGAAUGCUGACAUAAGUAACGAUAAAGCGGGUGAAAAGCCCGCUCGCCGGAAGACCAAGGGUUCCUGUCCAACGUUAAUCGGGGCAGGGUGAGUCGACCCCUAAGGCGAGGCCGAAAGGCGUAGUCGAUGGGAAACAGGUUAAUAUUCCUGUACUUGGUGUUACUGCGAAGGGGGGACGGAGAAGGCUAUGUUAGCCGGG
rnacentral:rRNA from 1 species